GAGUUUGAUCCUGGCUCAGGAUGAACGCUGGCGGCGUGCCUAACACAUGCAAGUCGAACGGAGUUUAUGAGGAAGAAGCUUUCGGCGGAAUUCUUAUAAACUUAGUGGCGGACGGGUGAGUAACACGUGGAGAACCUGCCUCUUACCGGGGACAGCAGUUGGAAACGACUGAUAAUACCGCAUAAGCGCACGAGACCGCAUGGUCCUGUGUGAAAAGAUUUAUCGGUAAGAGUAUGGCUCCGCGUCUGAUUAGCCAGUUGGCGGGGUAACGGCCACCAAAGCGACGAUCAGUAGCCGGCCUGAGAGGGUGAACGGCCACAUUGGGACUGAGACACGGCCCAGACUCCUACGGGAGGCAGCAGUGGGGAUAUUGCACAAUGGAGGAAACUCUGAUGCAGCGACGCCGCGUGAGU
rnacentral:rRNA from 1 species